ensembl:lncRNA
GGUUAUUAUUUUUGAGGCUACCACACAGUUACAAUGCUUCUAUGCAUGUAAGUUUGUACUUUUGAUUUAAAAUUUCACUCUGUUUAUUGUCUGUGUAUAGAUUUCACAGGCAUAUAGUGUGACUGCUGUAUCAGAAUAUCUACGCUUAUUACUGGGGCGCAGAGCAUCCACUUACCCACAAUCCAGUGUGAGGAGUCCCACGGCAAAGACGUGUGGUCACCCAGGCUGCUACUCUGCUACAGUUGGAUUAGGACACACGAAGUGAGAAAUCUAAUACAGUAUUUAGACAGUUACACAAUUUUUCAUUCUUCAGAUUUUAUGAUUUAGUAUGAUGAAUUUGAAAUAAAAUAACAAAUACUCAUUAUUGUGGGCAUUAUCAGGUCUGAUGCUGCAUUCACACUGAAGCACCUGCAUUCAAGUGGCUGGCUGGGUGGACAGACAACAGGCCUGGAGGUCCAGUUUACAUUGUACAGCCCUGCACCCAACCUGUUCACCAGUGUCACAAUGCUCACUGAGCAGAGCCCCACUGGUGCCCUGCUGUCCUCUUUCAAAGUCCAGUCAGCUAGAGUGUAUCACACUCCUGCUGUGAGGGACUAUGUUACUAUGAUGUGCCAGGUACAAUACACACCUUUUUUCUGUAAAAGCAAAAAUAAAAAUGUGAAAAAAAAGUGACACUAGAGUGAUGAGACAGUUGGUUUUGAAACCAUUAAGGACAGUACUUGUUUUGAUAACACAUUGACAUUUUUGAUCACAAAUUUUGACAAAAACCUCACCUUCUCCACAGCUCCUCCUCCUCCUCUUGUCCCUGAUGCAGUUCUGUCAUCAAGUGUACAAUGCUGGGCAGCAAGGGCUGGUGGUUUACUGCAGGAAACCUAGUAACUGGCUACAGGUUGCUUUGAUGACCGGGAUCCUUGUGUACUAUGUUUAUUUCAUCUAUAAAUCUAUUAUCACUAUGGGAAUUGUGGACGUGCUGCAGAGAAACAGCUACAGAGGACAAGUUGAUGUCAGCUUCUUGGCUACAUGGGAACAAGUGAGAUAAAGACACUUAUGGCAUUGACGUUUAACAUUACAUUUAUAAUACAUUUUAGGAAUACAUACAUUGCUAUGCACAAGGGUUGUUGUUUUUAAAUUACUUAUCAUUAUUAUUAUUAAAUACUGCAAGAAAGCCAAUAUUUGAGAUAAAGAAGUCUUCUAAAAUGCAAUGUGGCAUUUAACAAUGACAGAGAUGAUUGACAGUGACAAAGAUGUUCUUUUUCUCUCUAGUAUAUUCGUACUAUACAUGGUGUUAUGCUCUUCCUUCUCACUACCAAGUGUCUGACUGUGUUGAGGGUGAGCAGGACCUUGGCUGCCUCCACUACACUCUUCACUCGCUCACUCUCCAGCCUCUUCUGGCCAAUGGUAAACAAACUAGGGUUAUGAUGAGAUAAACUUUAUACAUCCCUGAAGGAAAAUUCAGGUAGUCUUGUAGUUACCGUAGUAAGUCAGUAGUAAAAGUAGUCGGUCAUCAUCUGCCAUUAGCUAAGGUGUCAAAGAGCCUGAUGGCAGUGGGGAUGAAGGAUCUCCUGUAUCGUUCAGUCCUGCAGCUCAGUGAGGAGAGUCGUCCACUGCAGCUGCUUCUCUGCUCCAUCAGGAUGUUGUGAAGCGGAUGAUCAGUAUAAUCCAGAUGGCCUCUACCUUUACCAAUUGGUAGAGAUGUUAUUCAAAGCACAGCCUCCUGUAACAUUUCUAUACAAAAAAGAAGAUCAAAAGUCAAGUGUCCAGGUUAUGUAUAAUUGGAUCUUCAGUUACAAUGUUUUUUGUGGGGAAAUAUUUCCAAUCUGGCUUCUCAUAUAAUAGUCUAGCUGCUGUGGUGUGAUAUUCACAUCACUGAUCACAUUGGAACAUGUUGUCAUUGCUCAUAGCCUCAUUAAGUGCUAUAACUUGUAGAGCUGGGAACCACUGUACAUGACUUUCUGAAUGAAAACCUGUUGGGGUCCAUGUAAUAUCAUAGAAGCAAUGUACAAUUUCUGUGGAUUAUGUCAUUAAUGCACUUUUAUCUUUAAGUGUGUCCUGCCCACACACUUAAGAAACUUUGUUAGACGUGUGAGGUUGUUUCAAAACAAAAAAAAGUCUGGUAAAUUAUGGAUUUGGUUAGAAAUAAAUCAGGUAAACAGCUCUGAGACAGGUAAACAGACAGUAAUUGAAACUCUGCACCUUCUACUAUAUUAGAUUUCAGGUUUCAUAUUACUAGUGGCACUGUCCUGCAUGGGAAACCUGCUCUUCAUACAAAACUCCUGGGCCUUCAGCUCCAUUCCUCGCUCCUUUAAAAUGCUGCUCUGCAACCACUGGGGUCUCGGAGCUGUAACUGCUCUCCUCUUCCCUGGCCAUAAUAUCUUAUACUGUGGACUCUAUCUGUCCUCCACUGUGGUGUGGACAGCAAUGGUAAGUAUAUAAAUUAAUGUUUUUUCUCUUUGUAGAAAUUAUGACUGAAUGGGAAAGACACUGACUGAUUUAUGCAAUCUUUUUUUUUUUAUUUCCAGUGGAGGAGUGUAGAUCAGUGUUAUGUUCUAACAGCUGUCUUUUUUGUGGAUAGGUGACGAGCGUGGUGUCCUCAAUAGUCAAGAGUGCCAAAAGGUCUCAGAGCAGGAGGAAUGUCUUCUCAGUAGCAGCAUUAAUUGGCUACAUCAGGCGGAAAAUUAUUGAUGUCCCACGGCAGCAAAGACCUACAUGUGUUGUCUAUGAGGAGAGAAAGGUGAAGGAAAUGCUGCAUUAGCUUUAAAAAUGGCAGAGUACGGACUUCACUGUAAUAAUUACAUUUUGAAAUUAUAAUCUAAAUGUAGCUAGUUAUUUAAUUUACUGUGAGGUACUUUGUCAAAUUAGCAUGGUGUAAUUAUAGUAAACAGACACUACACUCACACACGUCCUACCUGUCCUAAUAAAUAGGGUGUUUUUAUGUGGGGGUUUUGGUGCAUGUGAUGCCUGUGAGAGAGGCUAAGUGUUU